rnacentral:rRNA from 1 species
ACAAGCAACAACAAUGGGCAAGAGUAGUACUAAGAUGGGUGACCUCUUGGGAAGUCCUCGUGUUGCGUGUU